rnacentral:piRNA from 1 species
UGCAGUAGAUCCGGGUCUUCUCUUC